CUCGUAGGCGGCCAACUAAGUCAGACGUGAAAUCCCCCGGCUUAACUGGGGAACUGCGUCUGAUACUGGGUGGCUUGAGAUUGGGAGAGGGAUGCGGAAUUCCAGGUGUAGCGGUGAAAUGCGUAGAUAUCUGGAGGAACACCGGUGGCGAAGGCGGCAUCCUGGACCAACACUGACGCUGAGUGAGCGAAAGCCAGGGGAGCAAACGGGAUUAGAUACCCCGGUAGUCCUGGCCCUAAACGAUGAAUGCUUGGUGUGACGGGUAUCGAUCCCUGUCGUGCCGAAGCUAACGCAUUAAGCAUUCCGCCUGGGGAGUACGGUCGCAAGGCUGAA
rnacentral:rRNA from 1 species